CCUACGGGAGGCAGCAGUGAGGAAUAUUGGUCAAUGGACGAGAGUCUGAACCAGCCAAGUAGCGUGAAGGAUGACUGCCCUAUGGGUUGUAAACUUCUUUUAUAUGGGAAUAAAACGUUCCACGUGUGGGAUUUUGUAUGUACCAUAUGAAUAAGGAUCGGCUAACUCCGUGCCAGCAGCCGCGGUAAUACGGAGGAUCCGAGCGUUAUCCGGAUUUAUUGGGUUUAAAGGGAGCGUAGGUGGAGUGUUAAGUCAGUUGUGAAAGUUUGCGGCUCAACCGUAAAAUUGCAGUUGAAACUGGCAGUCUUGAGUACAGGAGAGGUGGGCGGAAUUCGUGGUGUAGCGGUGAAAUGCUUAGAUAUCACGAAGAACUCCGAUUGCGAAGGCAGUUCACUGGACUGCAACUGACACUGAGGCUCGAAAGUGUGGGUAUCAAACAGGAUUAGAUACCCUGGUAGUC
rnacentral:rRNA from 1 species